AGUGAACGCUGGCGGUAGGCCUAACACAUGCCAGUCGAACGGCAGCACAGUAAGAGCUUGCUCUUACGGGUGGCGAGUGGCGGACGGGUGAGGAAUACAUCGGAAUCUACUUUUUCGUGGGGGAUAACGUAGGGAAACUUACGCUAAUACCGCAUACGACCUACGGGUGAAAGCAGGGGAUCUUCAGACCUUGCGCGAUUGAAUGAGCCGAUGUCGGAUUAGCUAGUUGGCGGGGUAAAGGCCCACCAAGGCGACGAUCCGUAGCUGGUCUGAGAGGAUGAUCAGCCACACUGGAACUGAGACACGGUCCAGACUCCUACGGGAGGCAGCAGUGGGGAAUAUUGGACAAUGGGCGCAAGCCUGAUCCAGCCAUACCGCGUGGGUGAAGAAGGCCUUCGGGUUGUAAAGCCCUUUUGUUGGGAAAGAAAAGCAGCAGGUUAAUACCCCGCUGUUCUGACGGUACCCAAAGAAUAAGCACCGGCUAACUUCGUG
rnacentral:rRNA from 1 species